GAUGAACGCUGGCGGCGUGCCUAAUACAUGCAAGUCGAGCGAACGGACGAGAAGCUUGCUUCUCUGAUGUUAGCGGCGGACGGGUGAGUAACACGUGGAUAACCUACCUAUAAGACUGGGAUAACUUCGGGAAACCGGAGCUAAUACCGGAUAAUAUUUUGAACCGCAUGGUUCAAAAGUAAAAGACGGUCUUGCUGUCACUUAUAGAUGGAUCCGCGCUGCAUUAGCUAGUUGGUAAGGUAACGGCUUACCAAGGCAACGAUGCAUAGCCGACCUGAGAGGGUGAUCGGCCACACUGGAACUGAGACACGGUCCAGACUCCUACGGGAGGCAGCAGUAGGGAAUCUUCCGCAAUGGGCGAAAGCCUGACGGAGCAACGCCGCGUGAGUGAUGAAGGUCUUCGGAUCGUAAAACUCUGUUAUUAGGGAAGAAUAUAUGUGUAAGUAACUGUGCACAUCUUGACGGUACCUAAUCAGAAAGCCACGGCUAACUACGUGCCAGCAGCCGCGGUAAUACGUAGGUGGCAAGCGUUAUCCGGAAUUAUUGGGCGUAAAGCGCGCGUAGGCGGUUUUUUAGUCUGAUGUGAAAGCCCACGGCUCAACCGUGGAGGGUCAUUGGAAACUGGAAAACUUGAGUGCAGAAGAGGAAAGUGGAAUUCCAUGUGUAGCGGUGAAAUGCGCAGAGAUAUGGAGGAACACCAGUGGCGAAGGCGACUUUCUGGUCUGUAACUGACGCUGAUGUGCGAAAGCGUGGGGAUCAAACAGGAUUAGAUACCCUGGUAGUCCACGCCGUAAACGAUGAGUGCUAAGUGUUAGGGGGUUUCCGCCCCUUAGUGCUGCAGCUAACGCAUUAAGCACUCCGCCUGGGGAGUACGACCGCAAGGUUGAAACUCAAAGGAAUUGACGGGGACCCGCACAAGCGGUGGAGCAUGUGGUUUAAUUCGAAGCAACGCGAAGAACCUUACCAAAUCUUGACAUCCUUUGACAACUCUAGAGAUAGAGCCUUCCCCUUCGGGGGACAAAGUGACAGGUGGUGCAUGGUUGUCGUCAGCCCGUGUCGUGAGACGUUGGGUUAAGUCCCGCAACGAGCGCAACCCUUAAGCUUAGUUGCCAUCAUUAAGUUGGGCACUCUAAGUUGACUGCCGGUGACAAACCGGAGGAAGGUGGGGAUGACGUCAAAUCAUCAUGCCCCUUAUGAUUUGGGCUACACACGUGCUACAAUGGACAAUACAAAGGGCAGCGAAACCGCGAGGUCAAGCAAAUCCCAUAAAGUUGUUCUCAGUUCGGAUUGUAGUCUGCAACUCGACUACAUGAAGCUGGAAUCGCUAGUAAUCGUAGAUCAGCAUGCUACGGUGAAUACGUUCCCGGGUCU
rnacentral:rRNA from 1 species